UACGUAUGGUGCGAGCGUUAAUCGGAAUUACUGGGCGUAAAGUGUGCGCAGGCGGCCGCGCAAGUCGAGUGUGAAAUCCCCGAGCUUAACUUGGGAAUUGCGCUCGAAACUACGUGGCUGGAGUGUGGCAGAGGAAGGUGGAAUUCCACGUGUAGCGGUGAAAUGCGUAGAGAUGUGGAGGAACACCGAUGGCGAAGGCAGCCUUCUGGGCCAACACUGACGCUCAUGCACGAAAGCGUGGGGAGCAAACAGG
rnacentral:rRNA from 1 species